rnacentral:rRNA from 1 species
AGCAGAGAGGAAGGAGGGGAUGACGUCAAGUCAUCAUGGCCCUUACGCCCAGGGCUACACACGUGUUACAAUGGCGUAUACAGAGUGUUGCAAGAUGAUGACAGUGAGCCAAUCACAAAAAGUACGUCUCAGUUCGGAUUGCAGUCUGCAACUCGCCUGCAUGAAGUUGGAAUCGCUAGUAAUCGUGCAUCAGCAAUGGCGCGGUGAAUACGUUCCCGGACCUUGUACACACCGCCCGUCAAGCCAUGAGAGUCGGGAGGACCUGAAGCCAGUUGCUGUGAGGCGCUGUUUAGGGUUAAACCGAUGAUUGGGGCUAAGUCGUAACAAGGUAACCGUAA